rnacentral:rRNA from 1 species
CACGUAGGGGGCAAGCGUUGUCCGGAUUUAUUGGGCGUAAAGAGCUCGUAGGCGGUUCGGUAAGUCGGGUGUGAAACCUCCAGGCUCAACCUGGAGAGGCCACCUGAUACUGCUGUGACUCGAGUCCGGUAGGGGAGCGUGGAAUUCCUGGUGUAGCGGUGAAAUGCGCAGAUAUCAGGAGGAACACCGAUGGCGAAGGCAGGUCUCUGGGCAUUAACUGACGCUGAGGAGCGAAAGCAUGGGGAGCGAACAGG